UGGGGAAUAUUGGGCAAUGGAGGCAACUCUGACCCAGCAACGCCGCGUGAAUGAUGAAGGUCUUCGGAUUGUAAAGUUCUUUUCUAAGGGAAGAAGAAAGUGACGGUACCUUAGGAAUAAGCCUCGGCUAACUACGUGCCAGCAGCCGCGGUAAUACGUAGGAGGCAAGCGUUAUCCGGAAUGACUGGGCGUAAAGGGUGCGUAGGUGGUUUGACAAGUUGGUAGCGUAACUCCGGAGCUCAACUUCGGAACUACUACCAAAACUGUUGGACUCGAGUGCAGGAGGGGCAACUGGAAUUUCUAGUGUAGCGGUGGAAUGCGUAGAUAUUAGGAAGAACACCGGUGGCGAAGGCGAGUUGCUGGACUGUAACUGACACUGAGGCACGAAAGCGUGGGGAGC
rnacentral:rRNA from 1 species